rnacentral:rRNA from 1 species
UAGUCUCGCACAGAUGCAUAUCAAUAAGCGGAGGAAAAGAAACUAACUAGGAUUCCCUCAGUAACGGCGAGUGAAGCGGGAAGAGCUCAAAUUUGAAGUCUUCAAGGGUUCUACCUUUACGAAUUGUAGUUUAAAGAAGUGUUUUCUGUUGAGGUUUUGGUAAAAGUUCUUUGGAAUAGGACAUCAUAGAGGGUGAGAAUCCCGUAUUUGACCAUUAUUUCCAGCUUUGUGAUACACUUUCAAAGAGUCGGAUUGUUUGGGAAUGCAGUCCAAAAUGGGUGGUAAAUUUCAUCUAAAGCUAAAUACUGGCGAGAGACCGAUAGCGAACAAGUACCGUGAGGGAAAGAUGAAAAGAACUUUGAAAAGAGAGUUAAACAGUACGUGAAAUUGUCAAAGGGAAGCGUUUGACACCAGUGUUGUUUUCUCGAAAAUCAAUUAAAAAAGGCAGGAUUUUGUGUUGUAUUGACUUUAUCAGCUUUCUGCACUCUUUUCUUGUCUUUUUUAAUGCACUUUUCGUUUAACAAGUCAACAUCAAUUUCUUUUGUUGUAAAGGGUCAUUGGAAGGUGGCUUUCUUUUCGGAGAAAGUGUUUAUAGCCUUUGGCCUCUGCAAUCGGAGAGAUUGAGGUCUGCAGCGUAGAUCCUUCGGGGUUAGAUACAUUUGUGCUAAGUUAUAGCCUUUCAUAGACAACUUGUUGACUAUGAUCAGUCAUGUAGCUUACUCGCUUAUGCUAUUUUACCUACGCUUAGGAUGUUGAAGUCAUCGUAUCGCGC